rnacentral:rRNA from 1 species
UAGGGAAUCUUCCACAAUGGACGCAAGUCUGAUGGAGCAACGCCGCGUGAGUGAAGAAGGUUUUCGGAUCGUAAAGCUCUGUUGUUGGUGAAGAAGGAUAGAGGCAGUAACUGGUCUUUAUUUGACGGUAAUCAACCAGAAAGUCACGGCUAACUACGUGCCAGCAGCCGCGGUAAUACGUAGGUGGCAAGCGUUGUCCGGAUUUAUUGGGCGUAAAGCGAGCGCAGGCGGAAUGAUAAGUCUGAUGUGAAAGCCCACGGCUCAACCGUGGAACUGCAUCGGAAACUGUCAUUCUUGAGUGCAGAAGAGGAGAGUGGAAUUCCAUGUGUAGCGGUGGAAUGCGUAGAUAUAUGGAAGAACACCAGUGGCGAAGGCGACUCUCUGGUCUGCAACUGACGCUGAGGCUCGAAAGCAUGGGUAGCGAACAGG